UACAUACUCAUCUUUAUUGGAACAUAACUAGACCCAGUCUAGGUACUACAUUUUGCAAUUCAAAAUGUAUCCUUGGCUUUAAAAUAAUUUCCACCAAAAUUAGUAAAAACUUCACAUAAAGCCAGUAAUUUGUUUAAUGAGAGCUCCAUUUUAGUAAAAUGUUUGACUUGUUACUAUUAAACAAAUGUAACUAUGUUCAGAAUUAUGCUUGCCCUCCCCCAAAAGCCUCAGACUAAUGUUUACUAUAAAUAUAUACUGUAUAAAUUACAAUCUAUUCAAAACAAAUGGUAACACAGCUUAUUUGCUACUUAAUUCAUAAAAUAUGGCUAAAACUUUAUUUGAAAAGAAGGAAAAUGAAAUUUACUCCCAUUCUUUAGUAUUUUCCUGUAUAAACUGAGAUUUGAGGAACGACUCUUCUUGGACAAUGAAUAAACAUUUGGAGGGAACUAUAUACAAAGAGAUUUCAAAACAAGAAAAUGGGAGCCCAAACGAUAUACUUCCUUUUCCCAUCACCACCCAGUCCUCUUGAUUAAGAUCACUCCUUCUCUUGUUAUUCCUCACUAAACAGCCAUCACAGUUACUACAGUUUAAAUUCAAGGUGUUCUUUCUUUUCUCUCUAUUGUGCUUAUGGGAAAUAUCCUUCCUACUGUUUGUUGGCAUCUUGAAUAUCCUCAAGAUAAUACUAAAAUAACUGCUUUUGUAAAAUAGUUUGUGCUUUUAUCUGGGAUACCAAGACCCAUUCAUGAACAAACUAUGCUAUCAAGUUUACUUGUAACACGUUAAUGCCCUUCCCUUUUGCUUCCAAGAGCACUCUAUCUAUCAAAGGAGUUAUUCUACUGAAUAUUUAAUAGUCAGUGAUUUUGGUACCCAAAUUCAGAUUGAGUGACGUUCUCUCAUGUACAUGAACUCAACAUAAAACACACAAACAUAUCCAUCACUCAUUCAUUCUCACUCAAGCAAGCAUACACACACAUUUUCUUUCUUUCCAGAACAAGCCAGAAUUACAGCUCUUUUGGUGAUUGUUAUAAUUUUUGGAAUGGUUCAUAAAUUUUGCAAAUUCUUUUAAAUUUGGAACUUUUAUCUUUUUUUCUUUCUUUUUUUCCCAAUUGUGAACCAUUCCAUAUUGCAUCUUUAUUGCAAAAGUCAACAUGCUUCUUAGAAAUUCAGAUUGUAAUUGAUAAAACAAACAUUACAUAUAUGAAUUUAAAUGUAUAAACAGUUAGAAAUUCAACAAUAUCUCCUAUUAUACUAUUACACAAGUUCACAAUUUUGUAAAAACUAUAAUACAGGCAUACUAUACAUCAAGAGGAACCACUAUUCCUUUUCACAUGAUUUUUUUCUUUUUUUAAAAUAAUGAUCUAUACCAUGGACCUUUCUUCUUCCACCCUAACAAGACAUUUUCCAAUUUAUCACCUUAGCUAGAGACAAUGUUUUCUCAAUGUUACAACAUGAAGCAAUUGAGGGAAAUUCUACAUUCCCCGGGGUUACCUUUUUAAGCCUGGGCAGUAAGCCACUAGUAAAACCAAGCUGACCAAGCCAGGCUGGUGGUUGUUAUUGCUCAAUAGCUACUUAGAAAGAUGUCAUACACAUUCAAAAGAACAGAAUUUGCCUCAGAUGGUAUGUGCUAUUUCUGUAAGUGAAGAUGCCAAGAAAACAAGUCAUGUUUACUUGCUUUUAAGAGAAAUUCUAACGGUUUGGGAUCUCAGCCCUAAAGGAAAAAAUACAUACAUUCAACUAGUUUAUGCCAAUCUUAACUUAAAUUUUCCAAUAUUCAAUGCAUAUUUUGAAUUAUUUUUGAGAGUCAAACAUUAGAAAUGACAUUUUGAAAGAGUUUUAGUCCUAUUUAAGGUGUAUCAAAAACUAAGUUUUAAAGGGCCUAAAAACUUACUGGAAAAAGUGUCUAUUCUUCACUUUAACAUCCUUCUCUUUCACCCCAUCUCCCCCAAGAACUAAGAAAUCAAACAAAUCCUUAACUCUCUCUGUACUGAGAGUGUAAUAAGAUGUCAAUUUUAGGUUAAAAAAAAAUCAUAUGAAAAGGAAUCUCAUUCUGCUGAACUGUCUACUGAAAAUUUUCUUACAGCUCCAUUAAUUUACUGUAAUUUUCAGUUUCCAAAUACAAAAAUACAACAAUUCUUAUUGAAAUCUAUACGCUGGUAGUUUUAGUACACAAAAAAAAACCCAAACAAAUUAUUUACAAAAUUAUACAGUUUAAGAAAAAACUUUGUACAAAAAAUAUAUAAAUCCUUUGUUCCCUCUAUCACGUUUAAACUGUCAGGACUCAAAAUAUUCACCACAAUGAAUCUUUCAAAAUAUAUACUGACUGAGCCACAGACAUCAAGAAAAUUUCAUUCGAGAUGAUGGAGGAAGAAGGAGCAAGAUUGCUUAUUCUAGUACCCCACUGCGAUGUUUUCCUUCUCUUAUAAGCUUUGUGUUAUCAGAAAUGUCAUAAUAACCUAGAAAGAGGAAGUCCUUAUCAUUAUGGAGGGAAAAUUUCAUAAAAACUUAAAAAUGAUCCUGGUUUGACACAUCAUUCCAGGAAAAUAUACAGAAGAGGAAAGAUAAUCAGAAUGUGGGAUUUAACUUCUUAUAGCCAAAAAAAUCUAGAGUCCUGAUGGUUUUAAAUUUCUUAGUGAAUAGUUUCUACUGUGAGAAACAGUCUCUUUACCUCAGGAAACAAAAUCCUUGACAUGGUGAUCACCAAGAACCUUCUGAAGCCAACAGAAGGUUUCAAAUUUUCACACCACACAUAUUAUAAAAACAUAGAUGUAUAUAUCCUUGAAAAAGUGAUAUCCUAUUUACAUUAAUCAUUUUAUUUCCCCAGGGGUCAAUACAGUGUAGUGUUGCUCCUCUGCUUUUCCAUCUAACAUUCAGAACACAAGGACAUAAAUUUACAGAUAUAUUUUACUUAACAGAUACUCUAUACUCUAUACAGUGUACAGUAAAAAUGCACACAGUGAAGGAAACUGUCUACUGAAGAUGCAUAUGUUCAUGGAUAGCAACAAGCUACAAAAUUAUGAAAAUAUAAGGUCAUCUGAUCAAAGUCAAGUUAUGACUCCCAUUUAUUAC
ensembl:lncRNA